UGGGUGGAGCCCACUUGUCAUCUUCUUUUCCCCAACGUGUUCAUCCUCAACUCUGUAGCACCCCGGAACUGAAUCAAACCAGAUCGAUCGGUUCGAUCGAUCCCGAGAGCCAUGAGAUAGACCCUCCUCGUAUGAAGGGCCACUGAUCCUUCCUCGACCAAUUUUUGGCCAAAUCUCAAACCUCCGUGCCCUAGAAUCCGCUGCCAGAUCUCGCCGGAGUUGUGCCGCCGCCGAAGCUAUUCGCUGGUUGAUUCCGUCACCUACAGAGAGCACCGGAUCGAGCACACAGAACCGAAGCUCCAGAGCUCCGCCGCCCGAGCUCCAUCUCCGGUCCAUCCUAUCAAGCCCAAGAUGCUCGAAUUCGAGCUCCCCAGCCAACCCGAUCUCGCCGGAGAGUCGUCGGAGAUGCGCCACCGCCGCCGUCCUCUGCUUUUGGAUUACUCGGAGCGUGACGAGUAGAAUUAUCAGGAUUGUGAGUGCGACGAUCUUCAUCAAACCUACAGGCAAGUUACACCUUGAUCAUCCUUCAUCCUAUUUUUUAUGCAUGUAGUUCUAUACCACAAUACCAUAUUAUGCAUGUGUAGGAAUAUGACGGUAGUAUGCUGUUACUAUUAAUGCAGUUAGUACGGCCUGAUUGUUGACCGUGGUAGUGUAUUCUUGCUAUGCUAUGUAGACAGGGAUUGGUUCGUGUGUUCA